GCAAGGGUCCCCUGGAGGUGGGGAGGUCCUGAAUUCCUUGUAAGGUACAGGGACGGAAGAAAGGCUGCCUUGCCUUGUCCAGAGGGAUAGUGACUGCCGGUGGUGACAAUGGGGCUGGGGGGUGUUUGUGCUCCUUGUCUCAUAACUAAUAAAAGGUGUCAGAAGCUGUUAACAGGAUGGUACAAAAGCAGCAGGCACCGAGCAUGCAACGCGUGUGAUUUCAGGUGCCGGUGACGUUCGAUGACGUCUCAGUGUAUUUCAACGAGCAGGAGUGGGGGAGCUUAGAUGAAUGGCAGAAGGAGCUUUACAAGAACGUGAUGAAGGGGAAUUAUGAGACUUUGAUCUCGCUGGAUUAUGCCAUUUCCAAGCCUGACAUCUUAGCCCGUAUUGAACAAGGGGAAGAACCAUGUGUCCGGGAUCAGCAGGACUCAGAGAGAGUAGAAAUCCCUGUGGAGCCUUGCACAGGGAGGCAUUGCCAGUGAUGGACGGACGCUCUUGUUGUGUCCCGCGUCUCUCGGAGAGGCACGUAUUCCGCAGAAGUGCAGUUUCUGCCAGCAGCUGAAGGCUAGAUCCCGAAAGAACCGGCAACAAAACUUGAAACUCCUCCCCGUGGAGGGUGCUCUUAAACUGGCGUCUGACCCUGGUCCCGAAUCCUCUCCAGGAUGAAGGUCGUCUCCAGAGAGGGAGAACCGCAGAGAAAGUCGGCUUACUGCCCCUCCAAAGUCUCUAGAAAAAAAGGCUGCAAGCCCUCAAACCGAGCUCUAGACCAGCCAAAGGGGAUCCCUGGUGUGUUCGGUCACUUCGGCAGCAAUGACUCCAAAGCGUGGCACCAAGAGCUCCAUAUGCCUUGGGACCCACGGGGCCCAGGCUGGGGAACGGGCACCACUGUCGGUACCGUCUCUACAAAAUCGGUGCCAACAAAAAGAUCCUUGGCAUGGAGCACUUCAAAGCAGUUCCUGUCGGAAUGAGCCGCACAUAAAAGGUCGUCGUUACCAAUGAGUCAACAUCAACAACAGUCCCUGACAGCAUCGACCACAGUGGUACCACCGGAGUUCUGCUUCUCUAGGGACCUUAUGGUAGUGGAGGAACCAGAGUCCCCACUACUCAGUCCCCAGGCUCCAGCACCGAGCCCAUCUCAGUCCCCAGAACCACCAUCGGCACCGGGGCGUUCACCUCCAGCGCCCUUAUCAGCCCCACCCUACUCCAGCGGGGACUCAGACCGUGACCAGGAGGACCCCUUGUCUCUGGUCUUACGUCACAACCUUCCGUUACAGCAUCUGAGACCUACACAGCUGCACCCACGCUCAGAUCCCCAAUCUUCCUGGUAUGGUCACCUGUGGGUAGUGCCACCCAUGCCCUUCCCCCCUCAGUGGCCUUACUGGGAUCCACGGGCAGCCUAGGGGGCCCCACACCUCUCGGGGAUCUAGAAUCCCCCACAGAGAGUCCACCCGACGAUCCCCUCUGGCCUCUGUAUCCAGAGCCCCGGAGGCUUGGGAAGAAACUGUCAAGCAACAGGAGGCCAGACUAGAGGUGAAAACCACUCCACCGAUGAACAUCUCCUCCUCACCUGAUGAGGUGGUGAUGCCCCCUCCUCCAUCAUUAGCUGAUGAUUUUAAGCUUUUCCAAGAGGGUGGCUGAGGCUCUGCAAACUCCCUUCAAGGAAGUGAAAGACUCACACCACAAAUUGUGGACAUACUGCACGCCUCUUCCUCUUCCAGAAUUGCCCUCCCAGUCAAUGAGGUACUUUUAGUCCCUGCCAAGGCCAUCUGGCAGACACGCCUCUACUGCACCAACCUGCAAGAGGGCAGACAAAAAAUAUUACAUGCCCCCCAAGGACGCAGAUUAGGCAGACUAGAUUAGACCUGUUUGCCUACAUAGGAGCCAAGGAGUGGAAUGCUUAAAGGGGACUGUGUUUGGCUUCUUGUUAACCAGUGUGGUGCUACAAAAGCUCGUUUGAUAUUGGUUUGGUGGCUCUAUUAUAGAAUAAACCACCCGUUCUGGGGGAUUACGGGCCCUGUUUCUUGCAGUCUGCCCUGAGUGUGGAAUUCUUAGAGUGGCCCAUCCGGGCACCCGGUCACAGCUUCCAAAGUUGGUGCAAUUCCAAACAAGUGGCUCCCACAUCUUCCUCCCUCCCUUUGAUCCUAGAUUCUGUUCUAGGUCUCAGAAGGUCUGGUCUCUCUCUUAGCUCGCAGUUAAAGUACAUCAGUGGCCAUAGCAGCUUUUCACCAUCAGGUGGACGGACAGUCAGUAUUCGCCCAUCCAGCAACAGGCAGAUUCCUCACGAGCGUGAGAAACCUCUUCCCACA